UACGUAGGAGGCGAGCGUUGUCCGGAGUACUGGGCGUAAAGCGCACGCAGGCGGUCAGAUCAGUCUGGAGUGACAGUCAUCGGCUUAACCGACGAAGUGUUCUGGAAACUGUCUGACUUGAGGGCUUCAGAGGGACACGGAAUUCCGGGUGGAGUGGUGAAAUGCGUAGAUAUCCGGAGGAACACCAAUGGCGAAGGCAGUGUCCUGGGAAGUACCUGACGCUCAGGUGCGAAAGCUAGGGGAGCGAACAGG
rnacentral:rRNA from 1 species